GAUGAACGCUGGCGGUAUGCUUAACACAUGCAAGUCGAACGGACUCUUCGGAGUUAGUGGCGGACGGGUGAGUAACGCGUGAGAAUCUGGCUUUGGGUUCGGGACAACCACUGGAAACGGUGGCUAAUACCGGAUGUGCCGAGAGGUAAAAGAGAAAUUGCCUGAAGAUGAGCUCGCGUCUGAUUAGCUAGUUGGUGAGGUAAAGGCUCACCAAGGCAGCGAUCAGUAGCUGGUCUGAGAGGAUGACCAGCCACACUGGGACUGAGACACGGCCCAGACUCCUACGGGAGGCAGCAGUGGGGAAUUUUCCGCAAUGGGCGAACGCCUGACGGAGCAAUACCGCGUGAGGGAAGAAGGCUCUUGGGUUGUAAACCUCUUUUCUUAGGGAAGAACAAAAUGACGGUACCUAAGGCAUCAGCAUCGGCUAACUCCGUG
rnacentral:rRNA from 1 species